rnacentral:piRNA from 1 species
UAUUUUUACCCCAUCUUC